UAGAUAUGCGGCAGCCUAACAUGCAGUCGGACGGUAGCACAGAGAACUUGGUCCCUUGUGAGAAGUGUGGGACAGGUGAGUAAUGUCUGGGGAUCUGCCCCAUAUAGGGGGAUAACCCCUGUGAACGGUGGGUAAUACCCCAUAUCGUCUCAAGACCACAGAGGGGGACCUUCUGGCCUCUCUCUAUCUCAUGAGCCCCCAUGGGAUUAUCUCUUAGGCGGGGUAAUGGGCCCCCUAUGCGACAAUCCCUAUCUGGGCUGAGAGGAUGACCCCCCCCACUGUGACUGAGACACGGUCCCCACUCCUACAGGAGGCGCCACUGGGGAAUAUUGUGCACUGUGCGCAAGCCUGAUGCGCCCAUGCCGCGUGUAUGAAAAAAGCCUUCUCGUUGUAAAGUACUUUCUCUGC
rnacentral:rRNA from 1 species